rnacentral:rRNA from 1 species
CCCUUAGAUGUUCUGGGCCGCACGCGCGCUACACUGAUGCAUUCAACGAGUUUCUUCCUGGUCCGAGAGGAAUGGGUAACCUUUUGAAAGUGCAUCGUGAUAGGGAUAGACUAUUGCAAUUAUUGGUCUUCAACGAGGAAUUCCUAGUAGACGUAGUUCAUCAGACUGCAUCGAUUACGUCCCUGCCCUUUGCACACACCGCCCGUCGCUCCUACCGAUUGAAUGCUCAGGUGAGCCAUUCGGACUUUCAUCAUGCUGGUUUCCAGUUUUGAUGAAGGAAAGUCUUGCGAACCUUAUCAUUUAGAGGAAGGAGAAGUCGUAACA